CCUCGCAAGAGGAGCGGCGGACGGGUGAGUAACGCGUGGGAACGUACCCUUUGCUACGGAAUAGCCUCGGGAAACUGGGAGUAAUACCGUAUGUGCCCCCCCAAUCAAAUUUCAUUUGAUUGAAUAAUCAGACUUAUCGAAUUCCAGUGGAAUUUGAUGGGGGGGGAAAGAUUUAUCGGCAAGGGAUCGGCCCGCGUUGGAUUAGGUAGUUGGUGGGGUAAUGGCCUACCAAGCCGACGAUCCAUAGCUGGUUUGAGAGGAUGAUCAGCCACACUGGGACUGAGACACGGCCCAGACUCCUACGGGAGGCAGCAGUGGGGAAUCUUAGACAAUGGGCGCAAGCCUGAUCUAGCCAUGCCGCGUGAGCGAUGAAGGCCUUAGGGUUGUAAAGCUCUUUCAGGGGGGAAGA
rnacentral:rRNA from 1 species